UACGAAGGGGGGCUAGCGUUGCUCGGAAUUACUGGGCGUAAAGGGCGCGUAGGCGGCACUGUUAGUCAGGCGUGAAAUUCCUGGGCUCAACCUGGGGACUGCGCUUGAUACGGCAGAGCUUGAGGAUGGAAGAGGGUCGCGGAAUUCCCAGUGUAGAGGUGAAAUUCGUAGAUAUUGGGAAGAACACCGGUGGCGAAGGCGGCGACCUGGUCCUUAC
rnacentral:rRNA from 1 species